AGGUAUCUUGUAUGAUGCACAAGAUGUACAGAGAUCUGUGAGUCUCUAUAUUAUUACAAUAAGCAUUUCUUUCCAUUUAAAAAAACUUUGCUCAUUUUUGUAGGUGAUGAGUUUACUUUUUCAUUUCAUUAUAAUACCGGUCAGUAAAUAAGAGGAGUUUUAAUGCAUUUAAGAGGCAGGAAUACUGUCCUUUGACUUCCAGUCUCUGAUGGAAAAAUAUCAAUUAACAUGGAAUCUGGGAUAGGAUAGCUCUUAGUGAUCACUUGCUCAUUCUAACCAUUUGCCUCAUAAUGCCCUCAUCACUGUAACUAUGGAUUGAAAUGUGCAUUUUGUUCACUUCUCCUGUCUUCAGUAUUUCUUUCUGCAGCAAUGGUGGUGGCUGUUUAGGAGUGACCAGCAGCUGGCAGCACUGAGAAAGGAAAAGGCCAGGAGUGAGAAUUGAGUUAUUUGCUCCAAAACCAACCAGUGCAGCUCUUGUCUGAGCUGCCAGGAGGCAACAGUCACUGGUGUUGGAAGGAGCCUUCCCCACCCUAUUGCAACACUGUACUAGAGGAUGAGCAAAGAUGCUGGCCUUGAAGCAGCAGAAAAGAAAGUGUACUGAUUUCCUCAGUGCAAUGUGAGAAUUGUUUCUGGGGGUGCACUGUUGAAGGCUGCAGUGGUGUGUGCUGUGGAAAGAGGACACAGUACUCCUUGCUUCAGUCCAACACAGCACAUCAGGUGCUGUUCCCCACAGUGCUGUGUGAGGCAGGGUUCCAGUUUUGUCCAGCAGGUGCUGGUGUGCCUUUGCCCAGUUCUGCCACCAUGUACAACACAUUCCAGGUAAUUGAGUUCUUUCAUCUGCUGCAGUAUGAAACUGCAUCAGAAACCUGUCUCAGGGUAUGAGCAAGGAAAAGACAGGAUACUCAAUUCAGAGGCAGUGCUGCCUUCUCUGGGUGUAAAGAUGAGUGAUGGGACUUGAGGAGCUUCUGGCAUGAAGUUGAGAAGCACAAAUGCAGCCUUAGUUCAAGAAAUAAUGAUCUGGUGACCAAAGGUAGGAUAAUAAAGUAAGUGAACACAAUUACCA
rnacentral:lncRNA from 1 species